rnacentral:rRNA from 1 species
GGCGGCGUGCCUAAUACAUGCAAGUAGAACGCUGAAGAGAGGAGCUUGCUCUUCUUGGAUGAGUUGCGAACGGGUGAGUAACGCGUAGGUAACCUGCCUUGUAGCGGGGGAUAACUAUUGGAAACGAUAGCUAAUACCGCAUAACAAUGGAUGACACAUGUCAUUUAUUUGAAAGGGGCAAUUGCUCCACUACAAGAUGGACCUGCGUUGUAUUAGCUAGUAGGUGAGGUAAUGGCUCACCUAGGCGACGAUACAUAGCCGACCUGAGAGGGUGAUCGGCCACACUGGGACUGAGACACGGCCCAGACUCCUACGGGAGGCAGCAGUAGGGAAUCUUCGGCAAUGGGGGCAACCCUGACCGAGCAACGCCGCGUGAGUGAAGAAGGUUUUCGGAUCGUAAAGCUCUGUUGUAAGUCAAGAACGGGUGUGAGAGUGGAAAGUUCACACUGUGACGGUAGCUUACCAGAAAGGGACGGCUAACUACGUGCCAGCAGCCGCGGUAAUACGUAGGUCCCGAGCGUUGUCCGGAUUUAUUGGGCGUAAAGCGAGCGCAGGCGGUUUGAUAAGUCUGAAGUUAAAGGCUGUGGCUCAACCAUAGUUCGCUUUGGAAACUGUCAAACUUGAGUGCAGAAGGGGAGAGUGGAAUUCCAUGUGUAGCGGUGAAAUGCGUAGAUAUAUGGAGGAACACCGGUGGCGAAAGCGGCUCUCUGGUCUGUAACUGACGCUGAGGCUCGAAAGCGUGGGGAGCGAACAGGAUUAGAUACCCUGGUAGUCCACGCCGUAAACGAUGAGUGCUAGGUGUUGGAUCCUUUCCGGGAUUCAGUGCCGCAGCUAACGCAUUAAGCACUCCGCCUGGGGAGUACGACCGCAAGGUUGAAACUCAAAGGAAUUGACGGGGGCCCGCACAAGCGGUGGAGCAUGUGGUUUAAUUCGAAGCAACGCGAAGAACCUUACCAGGUCUUGACAUCCCGAUGCUAUUUCUAGAGAUAGAAAGUUACUUCGGUACAUCGGUGACAGGUGGUGCAUGGUUGUCGUCAGCUCGUGUCGUGAGAUGUUGGGUUAAGUCCCGCAACGAGCGCAACCCCUAUUGUUAGUUGCCAUCAUUCAGUUGGGCACUCUAGCGAGACUGCCGGUAAUAAACCGGAGGAAGGUGGGGAUGACGUCAAAUCAUCAUGCCCCUUAUGACCUGGGCUACACACGUGCUACAAUGGUUGGUACAACGAGUUGCGAGUCGGUGACGGCGAGCUAAUCUCUUAAAGCCAAUCUCAGUUCGGAUUGUAGGCUGCAACUCGCCUACAUGAAGUCGGAAUCGCUAGUAAUCGCGGAUCAGCACGCCGCGGUGAAUACGUUCCCGGGCCUUGUACACACCGCCCGUCACACCACGAGAGUUUGUAACACCCGAAGUCGGUGAGGUAACCUUUUGGAGCCAGCCGCCUAAGGUGGGACAGAUGAUUGGGGU